rnacentral:misc_RNA from 1 species
UACAGGUGGACAAACAAGUAUCAGGUAAUUUCUUGAUGAAUAUUUUUGGUCCUCUAAAAUUUUUAUGAAUAAAAAAAUCUGCAUUUUAGCGACUAGGGACUCUAUUUCUUUGCCUUAUGAUGUGUUCUUUGGUUUUGUUUCAAAUGACCAUGCAAUGUCCACUUGAGGUUUCAUUUGGAGGUUUUGAGUUCAAAUCCUAUUGGGUAGAGGGGAGCUACGUCCUCUUCUUUAGCUCAUUUUCAAUUUUGAUGUGCCAAAAAUUCGUUUGAUUCCAAUUCUAAUGUUCAAAAUUCAAAUGUGAAGAAGUCUUCAGAUUAAAUCUUAAGGCAAGCAACUCCAUUAUGAAUAAAAAAGAUUGUUAUUCUAGUUAGUUUAGAUGCGAAGCUAUCCCCCAUUGCAUUUCCCAAGUUUUCCAAUGAACUAAAAUAAUUAUAAUAUUAUUCCUUUUAAUGGCUUGCAUUCAUUGAGUUUUUUCUGUUGAUUACUAAUAUUUGUGGCAUAAAAAAAGUAUGCUGAAGCCAUAGGCUUUCGCAUUGAUGAUAUCUUACAUGUCGCUAGCCUAUGCAUUACAUCCAAAUGAACGAAUUACUUGCUCAGCUGUGGAGUCAAAAAGUUGAGCUUUUUCAAUUUGAUCAAAAUCUUUUUUGCAAUUUUGUCAACAGGAGGUUCGUGCUUUUAGGUUUACAAUUUCUGCAUCUUUGUCUCAUUAUUUGAAUUAGUUUCUCUGAUUGAUUGUGAAAUAAUUAAUCUUUCAUAAAUCCAGAAGCUCACUGGCUGCUUGUAUUUAUGCCACAGACCCUAUUGGAGAUGUUAUUU